GAGGGUAUAGCUCAAGUGGUAGAGCACAUGCUUAGCGUGCACGAGGUCCUGGGUUCAAUCCCCAGAACCUCCU
rnacentral:tRNA from 1 species